CCUACGGGUGGCAGCAGUGGGGGAUAUUGCACAAUGGGGGGAACCCUGAUGCAGCGACGCCGCGUGAGCGAAGAAGUACCUCGGUAUGUAAAGCUCUAUCAGCAGGGAAGAAAAUGACGGUACCUGACUAAGAAGCCCCGGCUAAAUACGUGCCAGCAGCCGCGGUAAUACGUAUGGGGCAAGCGUUAUCCGGAUUUACUGGGUGUAAAGGGAGCGCAGGCGGCCUGCCAAGUCUGGUGUGAAAACCCGGGGCCCAACCCCGGGCCUGCAUUGGAAACUGGCGGGCUGGAGUGUCGGAGGGGCAGGCGGAAUUCCUAGGGUAGCGGUGAAAUGCGUAGAUAUUAGGAGGAACACCGGUGGCGAAGGCAGCAUACCGGCGCUCAACUGACGCUCAUGCACGAAAGUGUGGGUAUCGAACAGGAUUAGAUACCCCUGUAGUC
rnacentral:rRNA from 1 species